CGUUAAAAAUCAAAGUCUGUAAAUUGAAUAUUUACUUGGUUGGGAAAUCUUAAUUUUUUUUUUGUGACAUUUGCACAUCACUGUUAUAUAGGUCUCCAGAUUGCUUCUAUCUCGGCUGGCCAAUGCGUGAUGAUGGAGAUCUCUCUCCAGUAUCUUCAUUACAGCAGCUUUUCUACGCUUCCUCCAGAGUAUCUUGGAUAUUAUCUUAAACUUCCCGGGUUUCCACAGAUGGAAAUUUACUGAAAUUUUGAGAAAUAUUCUCAAGAUCGCUGUAAGUCUCGCUUGGUGUGUAGUCUUACCACUUUGCGAUGCCCAGUCCAAUUCUUCUGCUCCUGGGAUGCUGAAGCAAUGGAUAUCAUUCCUUCCACGAGACGUUAAAGGGGUUCCCCCGCUCCAUAUCUUGGCUGUCGCUCUUUGCUUGCUCCCAAAUGUGCUGACGGCUAUCAUGUUCAUUUUCCCUAUGCUUCGACGCUGGAUUGAGAAUUCAGACUGGCAUAUAAUUAGAUUGCAUGUGUGGUGGUCACAGGUAUGAUGCUGGAUUUAUAAUUCCUUUCUUUUCAUCCUGGAUGAAAAUUAUGAUUCUGUUUAGUCAGCAAAUCCCUUUAGGCAUGCUAGAAGAGCUCUGAACUCUGUUAUGUCUUAUGUUUUAUAUAUUGCAGUGCUAAUGGCAUAAAUUAUUUGAGUAUUUUCUAUAUAUUUAAAUUGCAUUGUAUGAUUGUAUCUAGAGACUAUCUCUUGGCUCAGUUUAGCAGCUCAAAUAUGACUGAACCACCACAAACCUCACCGGCUAUUCUUUUUUAUGUUUGCAACAAGAGACAAGAUUAUAUAUAUAAAAGCUCAUGUGUCCAUGGUUCUUAGUGUCUUUGUCUUUUUUAGUUUCUUUUUUUACUAGGAAACUUCUGAUAUUUGUAUGUAUUUGAUUCAUUCUUCUUAGUGUCAUUGUCUUUUUUAGUUUUUUUUUUUUACUAGAGUGUUGUUUUUUGUCUGUCUAAAGACAUACUCUCUGGGUUAUCUCAUAAAACGAAGAGGUGUAAUAAAUUGCUCCUUAUCAACUGGACACGCACUGAAAAUACUAAAGAUUACCCAUAUUGGGAUCUAAACUAUCUUUUUCAUCCCCGGAUGCUGAAGAUUACAACGUAGGCCAAAUUGGCCAACAAGUCCACGGUGGUGCACCAGGUAUGUCCAUUCCUUACCUUACUUUACUUUCUCUACCAGUUAUGUUUUGGUAUUUACGGUUUAUUGGAUUCGUGUCGGCAACACGAGGAAAAUCUCAUCACAUUCAUGAUCCGAUGAAAGAGGUUAGGAGGAGAUAGUUCCUCCAGGCACAAAGGAUUUUCAUGUCAUGGCUACUUCCCACACUAAAGUCUGAGCCAACCAAAGCAGUGGAACCAGUACGAGGCCCCAAUACCUCUCACGGACACGAAGCUCUGCCUCAUCAUGCAGGACCCUUAGGUGUGUCGGAAAAAUAAGAAAAAGAGGCGUAGGAAAACGUAUAACACACCCGUGUCUUUACUCUCUCUGACAUGAGAUGUCACUAGAACAUUUGUUCCUGGUGACAACUUAGAGUCAACAUCGAGAGAGACAGAGGAUUGGAGGAAAUGACGGCUGCUCGGGUCUUGGUGGGAUCUCGAAUUAUAGUCCAAAGUCACUUUUCCCACCGGAAAAACUGGUGGAGAAAUUGGAGCAGCACAGCUCUUGCGAGGAGGAAAGGAACAUGUGAUGAUGUUCAACUAGGCUCCUGGAAGAGAGAGGGGAUACAGUCAAGAAGAAUGAAAUCAUACCUUCUUCUGAAACGGAAGCCUCUGCUGGUUGCGGUUAGGGCAAGCUGAACAUGCCUUAUAUGAUGCUAACGUCUGCAGAGAACUAAAACCUGAUUGGUCUAAAAGAUGUUGUUUCCGUGAAGGUGUUGCUCUUUGUUUCCUACAGGUAAAAAUCAUCUCACUUCUAUUACAAAAAGCAGUUGACUUUGAACGCUGAAACAUUAUAAUUCA